UACGAAGGGUGCAAGCGUUAAUCGGAAUUACUGGGCGUAAAGCGCGCGUAGGCGGCUUUGCAAGUCGGGUGUGAAAUCCCCAGGCUUAACCUGGGAACUGCAUUCGAGACUGCAUUGCUAGAGUAUGGGAGAGGGAAGUGGAAUUUCCGGUGUAGCGGUGAAAUGCGUAGAUAUCGGGAGGAACACCGGUGGCGAAGGCGGAUCUCUGGGCCGAUACUGACGCUGAGGAGCGAAAGCGUGGGGAGCGAACAGG
rnacentral:rRNA from 1 species